rnacentral:miRNA from 1 species
AAUUUAAUGUGUGAAAUUGG